CCUACGGGUGGCUGCAGUGGGGAAUAUUGGACAAUGGGCGAAAGCCUGAUCCAGCCAUGCCGCGUGUGUGAAGAAGGCCUUCGGGUUGUAAAACACUUUCAGUGGGGAAGAAAGCCUUGGGGCUAAUACCCUCGAGGAAGGACAUCACCCACAGAAGAAGCACCGGCUAACUCCGUGCCAGCAGCCGCGGUAAUACGGAGGGUGCGAGCGUUAAUCGGAAUUACUGGGCGUAAAGCGCGCGUAGGCGGUCUGAUAAGCCGGUUGUGAAAGCCCCGGGCUCAACCUGGGAACGGCAUCCGGAACUGUCAGGCUAGAGUGCAGGAGAGGAAGGUAGAAUUCCCGGUGUAGCGGUGAAAUGCGUAGAGAUCGGGAGGAAUACCAGUGGCGAAGGCGGCCUUCUGGACUGACACUGACGCUGAGGUGCGAAAGCGUGGGUAGCAAACAGGAUUAGAUACCCCAGUAGUC
rnacentral:rRNA from 1 species